UAGUAUGAUAGAUGAUAUUAUGAUGAGUUCCUCCAUGAAUCAUGUGAAUUUUCAUUAAUGAUGCAUUAUGCCUUUGUAUUUUGUGAGUACGAAGUUCCAACCAAUCGAUUGGUCCUCCCAUUCAAUCGAUUGAUUCAUUUGAUCAAUCUAUUGACAUGAAUUAAUUAUUUGAUGAAUUAAAACAUGUCACCAAUGGGGGUCAAACCCGGGACCUCCUUGGAAUGGUACAAGCCUUA
rnacentral:lncRNA from 1 species